GACGGCAGCACGGGAGCAAUCCUGGUGGCGAGUGGCGAACGGGUGAGUAAUAUAUCGGAACGUGCCCAGNUCGUGGGGGAUAACGCAGCGAAAGCUGUGCUAAUACCGCAUACGAUCUAUGGAUGAAAGCGGGGGAUCGCAAGACCUCGCGCGAUUGGAGCGGCCGAUAUCAGAUUAGCUAGUUGGUGGGGUAAAGGCCCACCAAGGCGACGAUCUGUAGCUGGUCUGAGAGGACGACCAGCCACACUGGAACUGAGACACGGUCCAGACUCCUACGGGAGGCAGCAGUGGGGAAUUUUGGACAAUGGGCGCAAGCCUGAUCCAGCAAUGCCGCGUGCAGGAUGAAGGCCUUCGGGUUGUAAACUGCUUUUGUACGGAACGAAACGGUGAGCUCUAAUAAAGUUUGCUAAUGACGGUACCGUAAGAAUAAGCACCGGCUAACUACGUGCCAGCAGCCGCGGUAAUACGUAGGGUGCGAGCGUUAAUCGGAAUUACUGGGCGUAAAGCGUGCGCAGGCGGUUAUAUAAGACAGAUGUGAAAUCCCCGGGCUCAACCUGGGACCUGCAUUUGUGACUGUAUAGCUAGAGUACGGUAGAGGGGGAUGGAAUUCCGCGUGUAGCAGUGAAAUGCGUAGAUAUGCGGAGGAACACCGAUGGCGAAGGCAAUCCCCUGGACCUGUACUGACGCUCAUGCACGAAAGCGUGGGGAGCAAACAGGAUUAGAUACCCUGGUAGUCCACGCCCUAAACGAUGUCAACUGGUUGUUGGGUCUNCNCUGACUCAGUANCGAACUANCGCGUGAAGUUGACCGCCUGGGGANUACGGCCNCANGUUNAACUCAAGNAUUGACGGGAACCCCNCAGCGGGGAUGAUGUGNU
rnacentral:rRNA from 1 species